UACGUAGGGUGCGAGCGUUAAUCGGAAUUACUGGGCGUAAAGCGUGCGCAGGCGGUUCGUUGUGUCGGUGGUGAAAGCCCCGGGCUUAACCUGGGAAUGGCCAUGGAAACUGGCGAACUGGAGUGUGGCAGAGGGGGGUGGAAUUCCGCGUGUAGCAGUGAAAUGCGUAGAGAUGCAGAGGAACACCGAUGGCGAAGGCAGCCCCCUGGGCUAGCACUGACGCUCAGGCACGAAAGCGUGGGGAGCAAACAGG
rnacentral:rRNA from 1 species